rnacentral:lncRNA from 1 species
UGCAUUUUUCUUACUUUCUGCAGAAUUUCCUGCAAAAUUUUACUGUAGUUUAAGCUGCGUUUCCUGCAGAUUGUGUUCACAGACCAAUGGGAGACAAGUAUUUCUUCAUCAACAGGUUUAUUCGCCAUCAAUUGGUCUAGCUGGUGUUUUUCGUAUGCGCAGCUUAUGUCACAGCUGCGUAAGAACACGUUCGCUUUAAAUCAUUAUGGGUAUUUCUUUUCGGAAUAUCAAAGGUCAAUGUUGAUGUGUUUCAUAAGAUUUGUGGUGGCGGGAUUAUCGUCAUUAACUAAUUACUUGAUAUCAGAUUUUAAUGGGGAGUGGUGUAAUUCCCGCACGACUGUUGACUUUCAUUGUAAUUGCCUGAGCUGGUUCCUGGUCCGCCUCAGAUAGCAGGAUGGUGUGUCAAGUAUUAAGUUGACAGGAAGGCUUUCCGGUUAUGACUGAGGCCGGUAUCUCACCUGUCCUGGCUACGCCAAAUCACUGCGGAUGCCGGAUGCCGAGGACCGGAGAGCCAACUGCUUUGAGGCGUGCCGCGUGAGCUCUGUGGCGUGGCUCGAGUGACGGCUACGGCGCCGUCGACCUGGUUGAAUAGCUGGGGCCUGGACGAGGGUGCCCUUAGUACGGUGGCCAAUCGGUUACGUCCGAGGGGCGCUCGAACACGCUGCCGUCGCGUGGCUGCCGGCGGCCGCCCCCUCGCACGUGAAUCUUCUGGAGCGAGGACUGCGAGAGGCGGCCGCAUCAUCACCUGUGUCCGCGCUCAACACCGUGCCACGCACUAAUGGCGGAAGCCCGACUUUCUCCGAUGGAGGAGAGAAGCUGGACGCUGGCUGCCAGGCUGCUGGGGAGGGCGCUGGCUCUGCCAUCAGGGGACCCCCUGCGCGCGACCGCCAAGGCCUCGGCACCGGCGCGCCUGUCUUCGGUCCGAGGCUGGAGAUUGCGAGGCCGCCAGGCCUGGGCGAGAGCGAGAAUCCCACCGUGUCAACAGACGGCUGGCGUCACCUUCCGGUUGGACGUGUGCCCGAUCCGGGCUGGGGCCACGGCGGCGGAAAGGGAAAGCGUGGCUACGCUGCACCUCGCGUUCCUGCCCCUGUGUGCUGUUCGGCUUUGGACGGACGGAUCUGCGGAGGGCGGAGUCUUCAGGUGCUGGGCGGGAGCCGUGCUGGUCUGGCUGUAUUUGUAUUUGUAUUUACAUUUAAGAGCGAUCCACAUACAAAGUGCGUGGCGAUUACUGCUCAGAAUCCGUAUCCGCGGCUGCUGAUCUAAUCAUUCAAAACAUUUGCACAUUCACUCACGUCAAAACAAGGACAAGGCUGGACGAAGAGGCCGAGGAACUGCGGGCCCCGGCCGGAGAGCUGUGCUUUAGCUACCGCGCGGAGAUGGUGGCGCUGGUGACCGGUCCGGAGACCCUACUCGGAAGAGACAGAGACCAGGACCUGCGUUCCGUACCUAUCUGCUAACUGUGCGAUGGUGCUGGUGUAGUGCAGCAUUUUUGGAUGGAUAGCUACAUUUCACGAUUAAAUAGCUGUUACGUUUCAGUGCAGGUGGCGUGACGAACAAUGUGGUAGUUAUCUGUUGGCCACUUCUGCGGCCGCUGCUAUUUCCUACUCGAAGGCGGGCGCGCUGUUUGGCUGGGCCGCCAGGAUGUUCCCAUUAUGUGUCGACGACAAAGCGAGUGUAUUCGUGUUCUUUUAAUGCACAGAGGUCUGUUGUAUAUUUGAAGUUUUAUUUUAAGUUGACGAUUGCGAAGGGCAGAUUCAUCUUCUCUCUUUCAUUUGUGUUGCCACUUUAUCGUUCAUGUUUGUUAUAAGUGUCCAUGCGGCUUGGUUGUCAUCUUUAUUCCUGAUGUAUUUUAUUUUACGAACAUGCUGGUGAUCAAUGCAAUACACUUUUGGUUAAUAA